rnacentral:rRNA from 1 species
ACGGGUGAGUAACACGUAGGUAACCUGCCUGUAAGACCGGGAUAACUAUCGGAAACGAUAGCUAAGACCGGAUAACUGGUUUUCUCGCAUGAGGGAAUCAUAAAACACGGAGCAAUCUGUGGCUUAUAGAUGGGCCUGCGGCGCAUUAGCUAGUUGGUGAGGUAACGGCUCACCAAGGCGACGAUGCGUAGCCGACCUGAGAGGGUGAACGGCCACACUGGGACUGAGACACGGCCCAGACUCCUACGGGAGGCAGCAGUAGGGAAUCUUCCGCAAUGGACGCAAGUCUGACGGAGCAACGCCGCGUGAGUGAUGAAGGUUUUCGGAUCGUAAAGCUCUGUUGCCCUAGACGAACAGCAGGGAGAGUAACUGCUCUCUGUGUGACGGUAUAGGAGAAGAAAGCCCCGGCUAACUACGUGCCAGCAGCCGCGGUAAUACGUAGGGGGCAAGCGUUGUCCGGAAUUAUUGGGCGUAAAGCGCGCGCAGGCGGUUGGUUAAGUCUGACGUUUAAGCCCGGGGCUCAACCCCGGUUCGCAUCGGAAACUGGCUAACUUGAGUGUAGGAGAGGAAAGUGGAAUUCCACGUGUA